rnacentral:rRNA from 1 species
GACGGGACCCGCACAAGCGGUGGAUGAUGUGGAUUAAUUCGAUGCAACGCGAAAAACCUUACCUACCCUUGACAUGUCCGGAAUCCUGCAGAGAUGCGGGAGUGCCCGAAAGGGAAUCGGAACACAGGUGCUGCAUGGCUGUCGUCAGCUCGUGUCGUGAGAUGUUGGGUUAAGUCCCGCAACGAGCGCAACCCUUAUCAUUAGUUGCUACGCAAGGGCACUCUAAUGAGACUGCCGGUGACAAACCGGAGGAAGGUGGGGAUGACGUCAAGUCCUCAUGGCCCUUAUGGGUAGGGCUUCACACGUCAUACAAUGGUCGGUACAGAGGGUUGCCAAGCCGCGAGGUGGAGCCAAUCCCAGAAAGCCGAUCGUAGUCCGGAUUGUUCUCUGCAACUCGAGAGCAUGAAGUCGGAAUCGCUAGUAAUCGCGGAUCAGCAUGUCGCGGUGAAUACGUUCCCGGGUCUU